rnacentral:lncRNA from 1 species
AGCAGACUAACUUACACUUUAAGUUAAUAUGACUUCCAAAAUAUUUGAAUCGAACAAGUGGAAAAUAUAGUAGAUAAAGAUUGGGCCAAAAGACGAUAUAUAUCAAAUCUAUUAAGGUAAUGAAUUUGUUAAGUGUACAGGUGGAGGAACAAGUUUUGCAAGAAAUGGAAAUAGUUAACGUAAUGGAUUGUGUCUGAUUUGCAAUCGAUCGAUGACAUGAAAGAGAGUAAUCAGAGGUAAUUUCAUUCAAACUAUCAAACCUAAGUGAGUUUUGUUAAAUCGUCUUUUUUCAAUUCAAGAUAUAUUUGCAGUUGAUCAGAAGAAGCUUAUGUGUUUAUUGUCAUUAUAUGGUCGUGGGAUUCAUGAAUCUGUAAAUAGAGUUCUUUACCCGUUUGUCCCCUGGAGGCAUCAGCUAUAGGAUCGUAAAGUCAGGGUUUAACACAGAGUUAGGGGAGCUGCUCGAGCAAACUGUUAUGCUCUUUAAUGGCGGUUGGUACUUGUUUGUUGAGUAAACAAAUAAUUGGAAUCAAACCUUUUCAGGCAAUCUAUUCUCUCUAUAUAUAAGCAAUUUAGCGAUGGUUGUUAAUUUUUUCUUGCUUACAAAUACAGAAGUGGGUUUCUUCUCUAUUAAUGGAUGUGUGCUUUGGUCUUCUCUUCUGCCUGCCAGGUGCUCGAUGAAAUGCCUGUGGCUUAUUGUUGUUUGUUUUUCCAUGUUUCCAAUUAGAAUACAAGAGUGUGAUGGAUCUAUCUGAAAAACCUGUUAGAUAUAGUGAAUCCAGGUCAGAUGUACUAUUGCAAAUUGUUAUGUGAUUUGCAAUGGCUUCUUAAGCCAUAUUUAGAGAAGGUAUACACAUUGAAAAUAUGUACAAAUUUGCUAUGAUGAGCAAGGAGUGCUUGAAUAUAGGACAAGAAGAAGAGAAAGCCAACAUAUGUAUUUAUAAUAUAGGAAAGUGGGUAAUGCUUGAUUACAUUUUUUUUGCUUGGAUGAGUUCACUGUUAGAUCGUUUAUAAAGUUAAUUGAUCAAUUAA